rnacentral:rRNA from 1 species
CCAAUAGCGUAUAUUAAAGUUGUUGCAGUUAAAAAGCUCGUAGUUGAGUUUCGGGGUUAGUAGGUUGGUCAUGCCUCUGGUAUGUACUGGUCUCACUGAUUCCUCCUUCCUGAUGAGCCGUAAUGCCAUUAAUUUGGUGUUGCGGGGAAUUUGGACUGUUACUUUGAAAAAAUUAGAGUGUUUAAAGCAAGCUAACGCUUGAAUACAUUAGCAUGGAAUAAUGCAAUAGGAAGUUCGAUCCUAUUUUGUUGGUUUCUAGGAUUGACGUAAUGAUUAAUAGUGAUAGUUGGGGGCAUUAGUAUUCAAUUGUCAGAGGUGAAAUUCUUGGAUUUAUUGAAGACUAACUACUGCGAAAGCAUUUGCCAAGGAUGUUUUCAUUAAUCAAGAACGAAAGUUAGGUGAUCGAAGACGAUCAGAUACCGUCGUAGUCUUAACCAUAAACUAUGCCGACUAGGGAUCGGAUGAUGUUAAUUUUUUAAUGACUCAUUCGGCGCCUUACG